GCUCACCUAACAGUUAUUGCCCACACUCCUUAGUUAAGCCAGACCCACCAUUCACAAGCAGGUGCAAAGUCGUCAUUGGAUCUCUCACCUAAUAGUUAUUGGACCCAACCCCAUCGUUACCCCGCAGCAACUCUUUGCUAAUAGAGUGGUUGCAUGUUUCUGAUACAACUGAACCACUAUAACCAGUCGAGAACAAUCAACGUCGGUAGCACACCCACACAUUUACAACGGUGGAAGAUCUUGGACUUAAUAUUUUAUGGAGAGAUUUGGAUUU
rnacentral:lncRNA from 1 species